GAACCUCGCACCUUCGGGUGUCGCGGAAUGUGGUGUUUAGGAGGACCGUGCGCGUCUGUCCGGUAUCGUCCAAGUCUCCAUGAAUGGGGCCAGCAACCCAGAGAGGGUGUCAGGCCCGUGGGACGAGCCGCGACCGUGUAUUGGGUCUCUCCUUAGAGUCGGGUUGCUUGAGAGUGCAGCCCUAAGCGGGAGGUAAACUCCUUCUAAGGCUAAAUACGGCCACGAGACCGAUAGCGAACAAGUACCGCGAGGGAAAGUUGAAAAGAACUUUGAAGAGAGAGUUCAAUAGUGCGUGAAACCGUUCAGGGGGUUAAACGGGUGGGCCCUCGAAGGUCGAACGCUCCCUACUCCUGUUCCUGUAGGCUGGCACGUGCUGCUUUCCGAUCUCGCUACGAGACGGGGCUUGGUGCGGUAUGCCGGACUGCAGGGGCCGUUAGUUAGGGGGCCAGUAGGACUCCGCAACCGUCUGGGUUUUAAGUCGUCAGAAGGGUUCUGGAGGAAGCCUCCUCUGGGGGUGAAAUCCGGGAUUCCGGGCGAUCUUCCCGGCCGUGAACCAGAAUUCCCCCGUCUGGCGUCUGGGACGAGUUUGURCUGCGUUAAAAACAGUACGAGCUGUCGGUUCUGGGCGUCACCGUGGGGACACCGCGGAGAGUAGAGUCGGGUCCCACCCGACCCGUCUUGAAACACGGACCAAGGAGUCUAACAUGUGCGCGAGUCGUCGGGUACUAUUAAACCCGAAGGCGCAAUGAAAGUGAAGACUGUGCCUCGUCGCCGGUCUAGGGGAGAUCCCGUUCUGCUUCGGUAGCUCGGGCGCAUCCCCGGGGCGUCGAAGCCGCGUUGCCGGCUAGACGAACCAAGAGC
rnacentral:rRNA from 1 species